rnacentral:ncRNA from 1 species
CUAUGUUUUUAUAACAAAACAUGGCGGAAGGAG